AUGAAGAUUGAACAGGAAUUCCAGGGAUCAGUAUCAUUUAAGGAUGUGACUGUGGGCUUCACCCAGGAAGAGUGGCAGCGCCUGGACCCAGCUCAGAGGUCCUUGUAUAGAGAUGUGAUGCUGGAGAACUACAGUAACCUUGUCUCACUGGGGUAUUGUGUUACCAAACCAGAGGUGAUCUUCAGGCUAGAGCAAGGAGAGGAGCCAUGGAUAUUGGAGGAAGAAUUCCCAAGCCAGAGCUUCCCAGAAAUCUGGAAAACUGAUCACAAGAAAGAAAGGAGCCACGAAAACCAGCCGAAACAUGUGUGGGAAUUUGCAUUCAUCAAUAAUAAAAUGCUAACUGAAGAACGAGGUAACGUAGUAGGAAAACCACAUAACUUGGACACAAAUUCUUUUCCUUCCAGAAAAACCCUCUGUCAGUGUGACUCACGUGGAGUGAGUUUCAACUGUAUUUCAGAAUUGUUUAUCAAUAAGAAAAACUAUUUAGGAAAAAAGACUGAUGAAUUUAAUGCCUGUGGAAAAUUGCUACUCAGUAUUAAACACGAGAAAACUCAUACUAGAGAGAAAAGUGAAUUUUUUAAAAAUGGGAAAACUUUCAGUCAUGAUGAGGACCCUAUUCAUCAUGAGAAGAUUCAAACUUUAGAGCAAAAUUUUGAUCAUAACAUUUAUCAAGAAACCUUCCUUGAAAAGGCAAUAUUCAGUACAUACAAGAGAGAGAUUGCAGAAGGGAAUGACUGUGAAUGUAAUGAAUAUGGGAGAACCUUCUUUGAUAAAUCCUUCUUAUUCCAUCAGAUAAAUUCCUCAAAGGAGAAUCACUAUGGAUUUAGUGGUUGUGGAAAAUCCUUACGUGUGACGUCUACCCUUUUGAAACAUCAUGGGGCACAUAUGAAACACUCUGACUGUAAUGAAAGUGGGAAUAAUUUUAGGAGGAAUUUAUGCCUUUCACAACUUAAAACUCAUAAAGGAGAAAAACACUUUGAAUGUAAUGAAUGUGGGAGAGCGUUUUGGGAGAAAUCCCACCUCACUCGACAUCAGAGGAUACACACAGGAGAGAAACGCUUUCAGUGUAAUGAAUGUGGAAAAACUUUCUGGGAGAAGUCAAACCUCACUAAACAUCAGAGGUCACACACAGGGGAGAAACCCUAUGUGUGCAGUGAAUGUGGGAAAGCCUUCAGCCACAAGUCAGCCCUCACGUUACACCAGAGAACACAUACAGGGGAGAAACCCUAUCAGUGUAAUGCAUGUGGGAAAACUUUUUACCAGAAGUCAGACCUCACUAAACACCAGAGAACACACACAGGGCUGAAACCCUAUGAAUGCUAUGAAUGUGGGAAAUCCUUCUGUAUGAAUUCACACCUUACAGUGCAUCAGAGAACUCAUACCGGUGAGAAACCCUUUGAAUGUCCUGACUGUGGGAAAUCUUUCUGUCAGAAGUCACAUCUUACACAACAUCAGAGAACUCACAUAGGGGAUAAACCCUACGAAUGUAACGCAUGUGGGAAAACUUUCUACCACAAGUCAGUACUCACCAGGCAUCAGAUCAUUCAUACAGGGUUGAAACCUUAUGAAUGUUAUGAAUGUGGGAAAACCUUCUGCUUGAAGUCUGACCUCACAGUACAUCAGAGAACUCACACAGGGGAGAAGCCCUUUGCAUGUCCUGAAUGUGGGAAAUUCUUCAGCCAUAAGUCUACCCUCUCUCAACAUUAUAGGACUCAUACAGGGGAGAAGCCCUUUGAAUGUCACGAAUGUGGGAAAAUCUUCUAUAAUAAAUCAUACCUAACUAAACAUAAUAGAACACACACAGGGGAGAAACCCUAUGAAUGUAACGAAUGUGGGAAAACCUUCUGCCAGAAGUCUCAGCUCACUCAGCACCAGAGAAUCCACAUCGGUGAGAAACCCUAUGAGUGUAAUGAAUGUGGAAAGGCUUUCUGUCAUAAGUCAGCCUUAAUUGUCCACCAGAGAACUCAUACAGAAGAAAAGCCCUAUAAAUGUAAUGAAUGUGGAAAAUCUUUCUGUGUGAAGUCAGGACUUAUUUUACAUCAGAGAAAACACACAGGGGAGAAACCUUAUGAAUGUAAUGAAUGUGGAAAAUCCUUCAGCCACAAAUCAUCCCUCACAGUGCAUCACAGGGCUCACACAGGAGAGAAAUCUUGUCAAUGUAAUGAAUGUGGGAAAAUUUUUUACCGUAAAUCAGACCUUGCUAAACAUCAGAGAUCACACACGGGGGAGAAGCCCUAUGAAUGUAACACAUGUGGAAAAACCUUCUCUCAGAAGUCAAACCUCAUUGUACAUCAGAGAACACACGCAGGAGAAAAACCUUACGAUUGAAGUGGAUGUUAGGAAUGUCGAGCUGCAGUUCAGCACCCAUUACACAAGAAUUCACACUGGCGGAAGCUCUGUUGACAGGAUAUCCUGA